AGUGAACGCUGGCGGUAGGCCUAACACAUGCAAGUCGAACGGCAGCACAGUAAGAGCUUGCUCUUACGGGUGGCGAGUGGCAGACGGGUGUGGAAUACAUCGGAAUCUACUUUUUCGUGGGGGAUAACGUAGGGAAACUUACGCUAAUACGGCAUACGACCUACGGGUGAAAGCAGGGGAUCUUAAGACCUUGCGCUAUUGAAUGAGCCGAUGUCGGAUUAGCUAGUUGGUGGGGUAAAGGCCCACCAAGGCAACGAUCCGUUGCUGGGCUGAGAGGGUAAUCAGCCCAACUGGAACUGAACCACGGCCCAGACUCCUAUGGUAGGCGGCGGAGGGGAAUAGUGGACAAAGGGCGGAGGCCUAAUCCAACCAAGCCGCGUGGGUGAAGAAGGCAUUCGGGUAGUAAAGCUAUUUUUUUGGGAAAGAAAAGCAGCAGGUUUAUCCCCCGCUGUUCUGACGGUACCCAAAGAAUAAGCACCGGCUAACUUCGUG
rnacentral:rRNA from 1 species